rnacentral:lncRNA from 13 species
GGUUGCUUCUGAAAAACAGGUGUCCUGCCUUCUCCAUCUUAGGCUGUGAGUCAGCAAAGUGCUUAGCGCACAGUAAGUGCUCCAUACCCAAAUGCACCAAAGUGAAGUGAUCUGAAAGUCAUGUCUUUAAUCACUGGAUGUUCUAUGGGAAGCAAGAUGAGGUCAAAAAGGUUGGAAAAAAGUGAGAAAACAACCUCAUGAUGGUGUCUGGACACAUCAGUACUCCUGCUGCUUGAAAUUGAGAUGAGCCAUUGAUUUUCCAUGUGGUUGAGCACACGAUACCGUCAGGUGAUCCUAAUACUGUUUCCAGCUGCCUGAAUAUUUUCCUCUUGCAAAUCUUUUGAACCGAAGACUCCACCUUUGUCUCCACUUCUUACCUCCCACCUUCAACUUCUUGUCUGCUCUGACAUCACGUGCUGUGAAUGCUGCGGAUGCUACACUCACUCUUCUCUGUGUUUGGUCUCCAAUGACCCGUGAUUGGACAUACACAGGUAAAAGAGUCGGUGUAGAGCAUGAACUCUUAGAUGAGAUUUUCCAACGUUCCAAGCUUUUCCAACCCAGAUGAAGUUUCUAUCUGAGCUCCUGGCAAAUAUUGAUGUUUCCCCUGUAAUCCUGAUAGAUUUCACCACAAUUCUGAUACAUAUUCCUUGGUUUAAUUAUGUGACAUAGUUAUAGAAUUUUGGAAGUAAAAAGAAGCUUAAGAGUAUCUAGUUAAAUGCCCUCUUCCAUAAUCUACAGAUGAGAGCAUGGAGUUUGAAUGGGAUCUUAGAAAGAUAACUGGGGUAUUUUUUAGUUUAACUUUCCUUCUAAGGAAAUAAUCCUUAUCUCAGUAUUUUCUAAAUUAGACCAGCCGCAUAUUUCUUACCUGGACAUUUUCAGUUACCUUUGGACAGAGUAUGUGAGCCAAAAUUUAGUAAAAUGAUAGACAAUGAUAUUGCUAUUUAAUUCAGACUUUAGCACAAUGACUUAUCCUAAGCCAAGGCAAAAGAAAACAUUGGCAGUAUUCAACUACCUUUGAUCAGUGCUGUCUACAUCACUUUCCUGAUUUAUUUCCUGGAAAGCCGUCAUUUGGUGUAAAUAUGCCCUACAUCUCACCACUGAAAAUGGUACCCGCAUUUUGUUUUGCUCCUUUUCUCUAAAUAAAUAAGUUUAUACAAGUGUGCUACUUCA